rnacentral:rRNA from 1 species
CCUACGGGUGGCUGCAGUGAGGAAUAUUGGUCAAUGGGCGCGAGCCUGAACCAGCCAAGUCGCGUGAGGGAAGACGGUCCUAUGGAUUGUAAACCUCUUUUGUCGGGGAGUAAAAGUCUCCACGUGUGGCUUUCUGCGUGUACCCUAUGAAUAAGCAUCGGCUAACUCCGUGCCAGCAGCCGCGGUAAUACGGAGGAUGCGAGCGUUAUCCGGAUUUAUUGGGUUUAAAGGGUGCGGAGGUCGGAUGUUAAGUCAGCGGUGAAAUUUGGUGGCUCAACCCUAUACGUGCCGUUGAGACUGGAAGACUUGAGUGAGUGAGAGGUAGGCGGAAUGCGUGGUGUAGCGGUGAAAUGCAUAGAUAUCACGCAGAACUCCGAUUGCGAAGGCAGCAUACCAAGGCACAACUGACACUGAUGCACGAAAGUGUGGGUAUCAAACAGGAUUAGAUACCCUUGUAGUC